GGUCAAAGGCUGUUACUGAGAAAGCAGAUCUAUCCAGACUGCAACCUAGAGCCUUAAGUUGUGUGCUGAAUAUUGGUGCUUGUGAAUUGAAGAUGUCAAACUGGCAGGGGGCAGGUGACAGUUGCUUGGAGGCUCUUGAAAUGGACCCUUCAAACACUAAAGCACUAUACCGAAAAGCGCAAGGAUGGCAAGGAUUGAAAGAAUAUGAUCAAGCAUUGGCUGAUCUUAAGAAGGCACAGGAGAAAGCCCAGGAGAUAAAGCUAUCCAGGCAGAAUUGCUUAAAGUCAAACAAAUGAUAAAGGCACAGAAAGAUAAAGAGAAGGCAGUGUAUGCAAAAAAUGUUUGCUUAAUAAGGAUUAAAGUUUCCUUAACUACUAUACAUUGAUUAUAUAAAGGACAAUAUAUAUUACUGUCUACAUGAUCCCUGAUGUGUUUCCUUUGAU
rnacentral:lncRNA from 1 species